rnacentral:rRNA from 1 species
AUCAACUUUCGAUGGUAGGAUAGAGGCUUACCAUGGUAGUAACGGGUAACGGGGUGUUAGGGCACGACACCGGAGAGGGAGCCUGAGAAACGGCUACCACAUCCAAGGAUGGCAGCAGGCGCGCAAAUUACCCAAUCCCAAACGGGGAGGUAGUGACAAUAAAUAACAAUACGGGGUUCUUACGGAUCUCGUGGUUGGAAUGAGUACAAUUUAAAUCUCUUAACGAGGAACAAUUGGAGGGCAAGUCUGGUGCCAGCAGCCGCGGUAAUUCCAGCUCCAAUAGCGUAUAUUAAAGUUGUUGCAGUUAAAAAGCUCGUAGUUGAAUUUCGGGAUCAAUUUAUCGGUCGUGCCAACGGUAUGAACUGGUACAAUUGGUUUCUCCCUUCUGAUGAAGCAUGAUGUCAUUAACUUGGUGUCGUAGGGAAUCAGGACUGUUACUUUGAAAAAAUUAGAGUGUUUAAAGCAGGCUUAGACUUGAAUACAUUAGCAUGGAAUAAUGAAAUAGGACGUUUGAUCCUAUUUCGUUGGUUUCUAGGAUCGACGUAAUGAUUAAUAGGGAUAGUUGGGGGCAUUAGUAUUCAAUUGUCAGAGGUGAAAUUCUUGGAUUUAUUGAAGACUAACUACUGCGAAAGCAUUUGCCAAGGAUGUUUUCAUUAAUCAAGAACGAAAGUUAGGGGAUCGAAGACGAUCAGAUACCGUCGUAGUCUUAACCAUAAACUAUGCCGACUAGGGAUCGGAUGAUGUUAAUUUUUUAAUGACUCAUUCGGCGCCUUAUGGGAAACCAAAGUGUUUGGGUUC